CCUACGGGAGGCUGCAGUGGGGAAUAUUGCACAAUGGGGGAAACCCUGAUGCAGCGACGCCGCGUGAAGGAAGAAGGAUUUCGGUAUGUAAACUUCUAUCAGCAGGGAAGAAAAUGACGGUACCUGACUAAGAAGCCCCGGCUAACUACGUGCCAGCAGCCGCGGUAAUACGUAGGGGGCAAGCGUUAUCCGGAUUUACUGGGUGUAACGGGAGCGUAGGCGGUGCAGCAAGUCAGAAGGGAAAGCCCUGGGCUCAACUCCGGGACGGCUUUUGAAACUGUUGAACUAGAUUGCAGGAGAGUUAAGUGGAAUUCCUAGUGUAGCGGUGAACUGCGUAGAUAUUAGGAGGAACACCAGUGGCGAAGGCGGCUUACUGGACUGUAACUGACGCUGCGGCUCGAUAGCGUG
rnacentral:rRNA from 1 species